UCCCUGGUGGUACAGCAGUUAGGACUUGGUGCUUUCACUGCCAAGGGCCUAGGUUUGAUCCCUGGUCAGGGAA
rnacentral:tRNA from 1 species